AAGCAGCGUAUUGCUUCCGGCCUGAGCUGGAGAAGCGCUGGCGACCGUGUGGCCAGGAGGUGGGCUCAGAGGGCUGCGCACAACCCUCUUCUGCCGAGAGGCUCUCGGACAGUCGGGGCUGCAGCAGGCCCGGGCCGGGUAGGGGCGCACUCAGAACUGUGCGCCUUGCCUGCGCCCUCCUCCCGGCUUAGCGCUCGAAA
rnacentral:lncRNA from 1 species